GUUCGUGCACAAAUAAAACAACGAACACUUUCGAACUAUAGGUUACUUUCUAUAUUACUUGAAAAGAAAAACUUACAAUACAUUUAAUGAAAUAAAAUGGUCUGACAAUAAUAAUGCUCUGGCGCGAAUCACAAGGUUCCGUCUACUGCUCUGAAAUGCCACUGCACUCGAUGCUAUACGAGCCGUGCCUGUAGCCAGCGCUUGCCUGGAAUUGCUGUCGCAGCAAUUUCAGACAGUCGCCGUCGUACAAUACUAUCUUAUACACUAUUAUAUAUAUAUACUAACUAAUAUAGCCAGGGGUUCUUAACAACUGGAAGACUUACAAUCUCUGCGCAAAAAUGAAGUUUUAUGUGAUAUUAGAUUUGAAACUGAUGAUGGAUGUGCAACGUUUGGUCAUAAAAAUGUUUUAAUGGCAGCUAGUCCAUAUUUCCGUGCAAUAUUCAGAAAUAUUCCCAAGCCCUCCGUUGACUAGUCAGAUUUCGUUAUUUUCUAUUUAAAAGAAGAGAACAUUUUGAAGGUCGAAUUAAAGCUCAAUUUUCAAUUUGACAUAUCAAUGAGGCGUGCAGUGCCGCAACUACCGGGUGUGCAAGGUGUGCAUUGCACAUCGGCCCCCGGGCCCCCAUUCCGAUAUAGGCCCCCAAAUCGAUGUGUUAAAAUGUAUAAUUGUAAAGCCGUAUUUGUGGAAAAUUGAAGUAAAAAACAAUUUGAUAAAACUAUUGUAUCAGGACUGAAGACCAUACAGAUUUGGCUUUUUAUAUAAUUGACACCUAUGGAUUUAUCAACAAGUUUUGCU